rnacentral:snRNA from 1 species
GUGCUCACUUUGGCAACACAGACUAGAACUGGAGCAAUGCAGAGAUUAGCCUGGCCUCUGUGCAAGAAUGACAAGGAAAUUCAUGACCCAUUCCGUAAUUUU